rfam:Limnoraphis robusta CS-951 contig178, whole genome shotgun sequence.
AGGAGCCGUGUGAAGCGAAAGUUUCACGCACGGUUUUGAAGACGAGUCAGAGGGGUGACUCUCUGGCUUAGUUUAAC